AAGAGCCUAGUAAACAUAUUACAUAAUCUUGUCAAGAUUAAAUAACAGCACAUGCUGUGGCUCUCA
rnacentral:tRNA from 1 species